AUGAACAAAUGUAUAAAGAUUGAACCCCAAACCAAAGUCUUCUGUCAGAACAAUUUGUAUCUUCUUCUCUUGAAAAUGUUCCUGGGUCAAAAUUUUUGUCUUGAUGAAAAUGAAGGUCAUGAUAUUUUGAAAGUUCUUUGCUGUUUAAGACUAGUAAUUGUAAAUAACUUUCAUAUACUGUUAGACCUGUAGGAUUUCGUAUUACAUGUAUAGGAGCCUUGACUCAGCUGGCUUAGUUCAAGGUUAUGAAAUUAAGAUUGUACAAAUCGUGUUUCAUGCUUUUGAUCUACAGAUAGCAUGAACACAACUUAGUUAUUACAUGCACAAGCAUUUGAAAAAAUGUGUGAUUUAACAGUGGAAUCUUAUUUUAUUUGUAUAAUUUAUGUUUACAGCAUUCCUUAAAAUCACAAUACUUCCAUUUUGGAUUGUUCCAUAGAAAGAGAGAUGAUUGAUGUAAAUUUAUCAAACUGGGGUUGAAUUUAGCUCAAUUUUG
rnacentral:sRNA from 1 species